AUAAACGUACACAUGACAGACCAUUAACAAAAACCACAAGAAGAAAACAAAGACCAAACCAGUCAUCAUGUUCAUCAUUCUUCUAAACAUGGCCUUAGUGCGAUCCAUCUCAUUUCAGUCAUUCAUUGUUCCCUCUCUGUUUGUGAUUACGCCCUCUAAACUAUAAAAUGAAACCAAGCAGAGAUUAUUUGACAUAUAAAUGGACUAGCAUUAAUUGUUUAAAAGCUAAAAACUGUCAAUGAAAUUGAUUUUAUGAGAUUCAGAUGUGUUAUUAAUCCCUGAUGGUCAAUUCAGUCUCACAGCCUUUAGAGUCUUAUUAAAAGAAGUCAAGACAAAGUAAAGAGUUACAUUUACAUGCCAGUAACAACAGGUCACCAAAGGAGAUAACAAUCUAUUUAAAGAAACACAAUGUCAGAAAUGUCUAAGGUGAUCCUUAAAACCAGGAGGUGACUAUCCUUCCAUGUAGUUUUAAAUUGUGACUUUAGGGCACCAUCCAUUCAGGGUUGAUUAGACCAAUUUCAUAUUUUACUACAGAUCAGGUCUGUGAGAUUGAGUGGUUAUAGUUCACUCUCAGGUAUGCUGCAAGAGUUCAGCCAAGUAUGAAUUUCUAAUCUGGCUUUCUUUUUUCUUUACAGCAUCGAAAGGCAACUCAAAUAAUGUUACACUGAUUGUUGUAGCCAUCGUCUUAUCUCUUGUUGUUGUUUUGGCUGUAAUUGGAGGAUUUAUUUAUCAUCGAAGGAGAAAACAAAAUAAAGCAGAGAACAUGGAAAAUACCGUCUAUGAAGAUCCUCAGGCUGUGAAUACAGACCUCCCUCUGCAGCAGAGACCAACAAAUGAUGCCCCAGCUGGUCCUCCACCCUACAUCUACUCCUCGUUGGGGCCUCCCAUCGGCUCUGAAGCACCCACUCAGCCCAGAGACAACGCUCAGCCAGAGAGCCUGUAUGCAGAGGUGUAAAAACUUCCAAAGUCCUGAAACAGUUCACUAUGAUGUCUUCAACACACUUCUCUUGCAGGAAUGACCGCUUCAGUUUAGUUUAGUUUAGUAUCAGUGAAGGACUUCUGACUGCGUCUUCUUUUUCUGUGCGUUGGUCGUGGACUAGCUACUUGAGUCAUGAAGUUAAAAGACCCAACUACAGUCAGAUUGCUGAUUUUAUUAUGAAUUAUAACAACAAUCACCUUCUGACUGGAAUCAUUUGCCAGAUAACCUGUGAACAAUUAACUUUUCUUUUAAAAAAUGAAAUCGCCCUUCCACUGCUUCCAACCCUAAUGUCUUCCUGCUCCCUUAAUAAGGAGGCUUCUGAUUGUACAGUAAUCUUUGUAAUUACCAUCAUUAGUGUCAAUACUUACAAUGUUAUUAGUUAAUAUGUGAUGUGAAAUCUCGUGGCUGUUUACAUUGUGUGGGCGGAGUGGCAAUACAGGAUUAAUGCCCUGGUGGGUUGAUGUAUGAGUGUGUUUGUAUGUGUUGUUGAAUGUCUCUGUGUCACUUGUAAUGUUGUGUAUUCAUAUGUUGUAUGAUUCAAUACAUUUUACAUUUCAAUCUGCUGAUGAAUAAUACCAUUUGGUCUUCAGACCGAAACAAGAACUGUUUUGUUGCAGACAUUUGAGCCUCUCACCUGCAACAUCAUAAAUUAUAUGUUUAUAGAGAUCAUUUAUGUCACAUGCUAUAUGGAGACACCUUUGCUGUUAACAAUCAGUUGACUCAUACAAUAGAACUGUUUUGAUGUAGAUAUUUUAUUUUUUUAAAUUACUUUACUGUA